UGUAUAACUAUCUUAAUUAUUAUUGAUAAAUAUGCCAGAUAUUACAUAAUGUCAUUCAGCAGCAUUCCCACUUCCUCCCAUAGUCUUCCCAGGGACUAAAAGUCUGUAAACUGCAUUUCCUUGUCUUCUUUGCUACUGCAGCUUCUGACACUACAGAUUUUUACAAUGACAUGUACCUGCGUCAGAUUUGGAAGAUGGAAGGGGAGCAGAGGCCUUUCUCUGUAAUUGGCAGUGUAUGUGUGGAUUUCAGCAAACAUGGUCUUUUAGGUCAAAGAUGUCCAAUCUUUUGGCUUCCCUGGGUUUUACUGAAAGAAUUGUCUUGGACCACACAUAAAAUAGACUAACACUAAGGAUAGCUGAUGAGCUUUUAAAAAAUUACCAAAAACACUCAUAUUGUUUUAAGAAAGUUUAUAAAUGUGUGCAUUCAAAGCUGUCCUGGGCUGUGUGCAGCCCAUGGCCACAAGUUGGACCAAGCUUGUUUUAGGUAAUUAUGUUUCCCUGACAACCUGUCAUUUUAGGACGAUGGUGCCCUGGUAGUGGCCUUUCCUACCAUCUCCUGGUUCCUGGGUGGCAGCGGGAACUUCUUGAUUUUCUGGAUCACAGUUAAAGCCUUCUGAUUUUCACUGUUUCAGCACUUUCAAAGUUCUGGGACUCACUCCAUCAACAUUAACCUCCUGGGCUCAAGCAAUCCUCCCACCUCAGCCUCCCAAGCAGCUGGGACUACGAUGCUUCCCACCAUACGCAGCUAAUUUUGGGGGUUAUUUUGUUUGUUUGUUUUUUAUACAGAGUCUCACUCUGUCACCAGGUGCCAGGCUGGAGUGCAGGGGCACGAUCUCAGCUCUCUGCAACCUCUGCCUCCUGUGUUCAAGCAAUUCUCCUGCCUCAGCCUCUCAAGUAGCUAGGACUACAGGCAUGCACCACCACACUCAACUAAUUUUUGUAUUUUAGCAGAGAAGGGGUUUCACCAUGUUGGCCGGGAUGGUCUCGAUCUCUUGACCUCAUGAUCCACCUGCCUCAACUUCCCAAAGUGCUGGGAUUACAGGUGUGAGCCACCGUGCCUGGCCCAAUUUUUGUGUUUUUAUAGUAGAGACAGGGUUUCUCUAUGUUGCCCAAGCUGGUCUCAAACUCCUGAGCUUAAACAAUACACCCACCUUGGCCUCCCAAAGUACUGGGAUUACAGGCAUGAGCCACCACACCUGGCCUUUUUUAAAGGCCAUAACUACUUGGAAUUUAUUUAAAUGCUACCCAAAAAAAUAUUUUCAUAAAGAGAAACUCUUUAGAGUUUACAUUCAAAUCAGACUUCUUCUCAAGCCUCACACCAGGCUCCUCCCACUCUGAUAUCACUGAAGAAUUCAGUACACUUACGAACAUAAGAAACCUCGAUAAAAACAGAUCAUUCCUUAAGAGUUUUACAAAAUCCAGAAUAUUUGUGAAUUGUUGUGCUGGACUCUUAAGUUUUCAUGUCCUCCAGCAACUGCAGUGAAAUCUAGAAAGGUUUUUGCUGCCCAGUGAAACUUACUCUUAUGUAAUAUGCUUAUUUUAAAACCCAUGAAUUUCAAUGUCUCCAAGAGAAAAAACAUGUAAAAACUACCCCAAAAUGGGUUUUACUCUAUCUAUAAAUUUAAGAUAAAAUUCUACCCCAUGAAUGAGCCAAAAUCAUAGCUCAUUUCAUCAUAGCACACCAAGAACAAAAUCUGUAGAUUUUUAGGUAGGGGCCAACUUCUGGAAAAGAUGCCCAGAUUUCAAAAGAGUUUCCUUACCAAUUUCAUAGUUGAAACCUUAUAAAGUGUAAGUUAAACCUAAGCAAAUCAAUGACCUAGGUCUUCAAAUGGCAUAUACUGUAAGACACUACAGAAUGAGAACUAUAACAAGCCCAGAACAAAAGUAGAACUUGUGGCUCUCUGCCUGCCACGCAGCAAGCUUUGGAGAAUCUGGAAAUUCACUGCGA
rnacentral:lncRNA from 13 species